CGAAGAACCUUACCAGGUCUUGACAUCCUUUGACCACUCUGGAGACAGAGCUUUCCCUUCGGGGACAAAGUGACAGGUGGUGCAUGGUUGUCGUCAGCUCGUGUCGUGAGAUGUUGGGUUAAGUCCCGCAACGAGCGCAACCCUUGAUUUUAGUUGCCAGCAUUUAGUUGGGCACUCUAAAGUGACUGCCGGUGCAAGCCGGAGGAAGGUGGGGAUGACGUCAAAUCAUCAUGCCCCUUAUGACCUGGGCUACACACGUGCUACAAUGGAUAGUACAAAGGGUCGCGAAGCCGCGAGGUGGAGCUAAUCCCAUAAAACUAUUCUCAGUUCGGAUUGUAGGCUGCAACUCGCCUACAUGAAGCCGGAAUCGCUAGUAAUCGUGGAUCAGCAUGCCACGGUGAAUACGUUCCCGGGCCUUGUACACACCGCCCGUCACACCACGAGAGUUUGUAACACCCGAAGUCGGUAGGGUAACCUUUAUGGAGCCAGCCGCCGAAGGUGGGACAGAUAAUUGGGGUGAAGUCGUAACAAGGUAGCCGUAUCGGAAGGUGCGGCUGGAUCACCUCCUUUCUAAGGAA
rnacentral:rRNA from 1 species